AUUGAACGCUGGCGGCAGGCCUAACACAUGCAAGUCGAGCGGAGCGGCGGACGGGUGCGUAUUGCCUAGGAAUCUGCCUGGUAGUGGGGGCUAACGUCCGGAAACGGGCGCUAAUACCGCAUACUAUCAGAUGAGCCUAGGUCGGAUUCGCUAGUUGGUGUGGUAAAGGCCUACCAAGGCCUCGAUCCGUAACUGGGCUGAGAGGAAGAUCAGUCACACUGGAACGGAGACACGGUCCAGACUCCUACGGGAGGCAGCAGUGGGGAAUAUUGGACAAUGGGCGAAAGCCUGAGCCAGCCAUGCAGCGUGUGUGAAGAAGGUAUUCGGGUUGUAAAGCACUUUAAGUUGGGAGGCGUUAGUAACAGAAUAAGCACCGGCUAACUUCGUGCCAGCCGCCGCGGUAAUUC
rnacentral:rRNA from 1 species